GAUGAACGCUGGCGGCGUGCCUAACACAUGCAAGUCGAACGGACCUAAUCUUCGGAUGAGGUUAGUGGCGGACGGGUGCGUAACACGUGGGUGACCUGCCCUGGAGUGGGGAAUAAUUCCGCGAAAGCGGGACUAAUACCGCAUACGGUCGAUGAUUCGGUUCAUCGAUUAAAGCCUUCGGGCGCUCCGGGAUGGGCCUGCGGCGGAUUAGCUAGUUGGUGGGGUAAUGGCCUACCAAGGCGAUGAUCCGUAGGGGGCGUGAGAGCGUGACCCCCCACAUUGGCACUGAGACACGGGCCAAACUCCUACGGGAGGCAG
rnacentral:rRNA from 1 species